rnacentral:rRNA from 1 species
AUUGAACGCUGGCGGCAGGCCUAACACAUGCAAGUCGAGCGGUAGAGAGGUGCUUGCAUCUCUUGAGAGCGGCGGACGGGUGAGUAAUGCCUAGGAAUCUGCCUAGUGGUGGGGGAUAACGUUCGGAAACGGACGCUAAUACCGCAUACGUCCUACGGGAGAAAGCGGGGGAUCUUCGGACCUCGCGCCAUUAGAUGAGCCUAGGUCGGGUUAGCUAGUUGGUGAGGUAAUGGCUCACCAAGGCGACGAUCCGUAACUGGUCUGAGAGGAUGAUCAGUCACACUGGAACUGAGACACGGUCCAGACUCCUACGGGAGGCAGCAGUGGGGAAUAUUGGACAAUGGGCGAAAGCCUGAUCCAGCCAUGCCGCGUGUGUGAAGAAGGUCUUCGGAUUGUAAAGCACUUUAAGUUGGGAGGAAGGGUAGUAACCUAAUACGUUGCUACUUUGACGUUACCGACAGAAUAAGCACCGGCUAACUUCGUGCCAGCAGCCGAC